rnacentral:lncRNA from 1 species
CAAAUGAUCCACCCGCCUCUGCCUCCCAAAGUGCUGGGAUUACAGUCAUGAGCCACCACGCCCGGCCGACACUAAGCAAUUCUUAAAAUGUACACUGAAGUUUGAGAACUGCUCCAGAGAAUUUGCCACAGUGGAAUAGCUCUUCACAGCAGGUCCCUAGGUCAGGACUAGGAAGCUUGUUGAUUUAGUAGUAAGCAAAUACUUGCAUUGCUUCCCACUCUGUGUCACUGACUAAGUCAGACAUGGCAGGCUGGGGACAGUGGCUCACAGCUGUAAUCCCAGCACUUUGGGGGGCCAAGGUGAGAGAUUACUUGAGUCCAGGAGGUUGAAACUAGCCUGGGCAACAUAGUGAGAUCUUGUCUCUAAAAAAAUAAAAUAUUAGGCGUGGGAGGAUUGCUUGAACUCGGGGAGGUUGAGGCUGCAGUGAGCCAAGAUCAUCCCACUGCGCACCAGCCCGGGUGAAAGAGCAAGACCCUG